AUUGAACGCUGGCGGCAGGCUUAACACAUGCAAGUCGAGCGGAGAGAGGUAGCUUGCUACUGAUCUUAGCGGCGGACGGGUGAGUAAUGCUUAGGAAUCUGCCUAUUAGUGGGGGACAACAUUUCGAAAGGAAUGCUAAUACCGCAUACGUCCUACGGGAGAAAGCAGGGGAUCUUCGGACCUUGCGCUAAUAGAUGAGCCUAAGUCAGAUUAGCUAGUUGGUGGGGUAAAGGCCUACCAAGGCGACGAUCUGUAGCGGGUCUGAGAGGAUGGUCCGCCACACUGGGACUGAGACACGGCCCAGACUCCUACGGGAGGCAGCAGUGGGGAAUAUUGGACAAUGGGUGGAAGCCUGAUCCAGCCAUGCCGCGUGUGUGAAGAAGGCCUUAUGGUUGUAAAGCACUUUAAGCGAGGAGGAGGCUACUUUAGUUAAUACCUAGAGAUAGUGGACGUUACUCGCAGAAUAAGCACCGGCUAACUCUGUGCCAGCCGCCGCAGUAAAAC
rnacentral:rRNA from 1 species